GGACUACAAGGGUAUCUAAUCCUGUUUGCUCCCCACGCUUUCGCGCCUCAGCGUCAGUAUCGGUCCAGUGAGCCGCCUUCGCCACCGGUGUUCUUCCCAAUAUCUACGAAUUUCACCUCUACACUGGGAAUUCCACCCACCUCUCCCGAACUCUAGCCAAAGAGUCCCAAAUGCUGUUCCCAGGUUGAGCCCGGGGCUUUCACAUCUGACUUCCUUGGCCGCCUGCGCGCCCUUUACGCCCAGUAAUUCCGAACAACGCUUGCCCCCUUCGUAUUACCGCGGCUGCUGGCAC
rnacentral:rRNA from 1 species